rnacentral:rRNA from 1 species
CGCAAAAGACAUGGGUGAAAAAAAUACUUCAGCCGGCCGCGAAAGCCAGGCCUUCAUAUUUUGUUGUGUAAUGAUCCCUUCCGUAGGUGAACCUGCGGAGGGAUCAUUACACAACAAAAUAUGAAGGCCUGGCUUUCGCGGCCGGCUGAAGUAUUUUUUUCACCCAUGUCUUUUGCGCACUUGUUGUUUCCUGGGCGGGUUCGCCCGCCACCAGGACCAAACCAUAAACCUUUUUUUCUUAUGCAGUUUCCAUCAGCGUCAGUAAAAACAAUGUAAUUAUUACAACUUUCAACAACGGAUCUCUUGGUUCUGGCAUCGAUGAAGAACGCAGCGAAAUGCGAUACGUAGUGUGAAUUGCAGAAUUCAGUGAAUCAUCGAAUCUUUGAACGCACAUUGCGCCCUUUGGUAUUCCAAAGGGCAUGCCUGUUCGAGCGUCAUUUGUACCUUCAAGCUUUGCUUGGUGUUGGGCGUUUUUUUGUCUCCCUCUUUCUGGGAGACUCGCCUUAAAACGAUUGGCAGCCGGCCUACUGGUUUCGGAGCGCAGCACAUUUUUUGCGCUUUGUAUCAGGAGAAAAGGACGGUACUCCAUCAAGACUCUACAUUUUUCACUUUUGACCUCGGAUCAGGUAGGGAUACCCGCUGAACUUAAGCAUAUCAAUAAGGCGGGAGGAA